rnacentral:rRNA from 1 species
CCUACGGGAGGCAGCAGUGAGGAAUAUUGGUCAAUGGGCGAGAGCCUGAACCAGCCAAGUCGCGUGAAGGAUGACGGCCCUACGGGUUGUAAACUUCUUUUGUCAGGGAGCAAUUGGGUCCACGCGUGCGCUUAGCGAGAGUACCUGAAGAAAAAGCAUCGGCUAACUCCGUGCCAGCAGCCGCGGUAAUACGUAGGAUGCGUGCGUUAUCCGGAUUUAUUGGGUUUAAGGGGUGCGUAGGCGGAAUAUAAAGUAAGCGGUAAAAGUUCGGGGCUCAACCCCGUCGUGCAGUUGAAACGGGUGAUCUUGAGUGGGCGAGAGGUGUGCGGAAUGCGAGGUGUAGCGGUGAAAUGCAUAGAUAUCACGCAGAACUCCGAUUGCGAAGGCAGCAUACCGGCGCCCAACUGACGCUGAGGCGCGAAAGCGUGGGUAUCGAACAGGAUUAGAUACCCCGGUAGUC